UUCCCAGGUUGCUUGACACACAGUCUGAUGGU
rnacentral:piRNA from 1 species